AAGAUUAAGCCAUGCAUGUCUAAGUAUAAGCAAUUUAUACAGUGAAACUGCGAAUGGCUCAUUAAAUCAGUUAUCGUUUAUUUGAUAGUUCCUUUACUACAUGGUAUAACUGUGGUAAUUCUAGAGCUAAUACAUGCUUAAAAUCUCGACCCUUUGGAAGAGAUGUAUUUAUUAGAUAACAAAUCAAUAUUCCUCUGGUCUAUUUGAUGAUUCAUAAUAACUAGCUUAUCGAAU
rnacentral:rRNA from 1 species